AUACGUAGGGAGCGAGCGUUGUCCGGAAUCAUUGGGCGUAAAGAGCAUGUAGGUGGAUCAAUUAGUCUGCUGUGAAAGUCGAAGGCUCAACCUUCGAAAGCCGGUGGAUACUGUUGAUCUAGAGUACGGAAGAGGCGAGUGGAAUUCCUGGUGUAGCGGUGGAAUGCGCAGAUAUCAGGAGGAACACCAAUAGCGAAGGCAGCUCGCUGGGACGUUACUGACACUAAGAUGCGAAAGCGUGGGGAGCAAACAGGAUUAGAUACCCUGGUAGUCCACGCCGUAAACGAUGGGUACUAGAUGUGGGAGGUGUCGACUCCUCCCGUAUCGUAGCUAACGCACUAAGUACCCCGCCUGGGGAGUACGGCCGCAAGGCUAAA
rnacentral:rRNA from 1 species